CCUACGGGUGGCAGCAGUGGGGAAUAUUGGACAAUGGGCGAAAGCCUGAUCCAGCCAUGCCGCGUGUGUGAAGAAGGCCUUCGGGUUGUAAAGCACUUUCAGUGGGGAAGAAAGCCUUGGGGCUAAUACCCUCGAGGAAGGACAUCACCCACAGAAGAAGCACCGGCUAACUCCGUGCCAGCAGCCGCGGUAAUACGGAGGGUGCGAGCGUUAAUCGGAAUUACUGGCGUAAAGCGCGCGUAGGCGGUCUGAUAAGCCGGUUGUGAAAGCCCCGGGCUCAACCGGGGAACGGCAUCCGGAACUGUCAGGCUAGAGUGCAGGAGAGGAAGGUAGAAUUCCCGGUGUAGCGGUGAAAUGCGUAGAGAUCGGGAGGAAUACCAGUGGCGAAGGCGGCCUUCUGGACUGACACUGACGCUGAGGUGCGAAAGCGUGGGUAGCAAACAGGAUUAGAUACCCGAGUAGUC
rnacentral:rRNA from 1 species